UCUACCCCCCACUCUGGGAUAACCCUCCGAAAGGAGGGCUAAUACCUGAUAGGGUCCUCGAGGUUCAAGCCGCGAGGGGAAAGCAGGCCUCUGGUCCACGCUUGCGGUAGGGGAUGAGCUUGCGGCUCAUUAGCUAGUUGGUAGGGUAAUGGCCUACCAAGGCGACGAUGGGUAGCUGGUCUGAGAGGAUGAUCAGCCACACUGGCACUGAGAUACGGGCCAGACUCCUACGGGAGGCAGCAGUGGGGAAUUUUGCGCAAUGGGCGCAAGCCUGACGCAGUAACGCCGCGUGGAGGAUGAAGGCCUUCGGGUUGUAAACUCCUGUCAGGGGGAACGACGGGACUCCUGGGAACAUCAGGGGUCUCCAGACGGUACCUCCAAAGGAAGCCCCGGCUAAUUCCGUGCCAGCAGCCGCGGUAAUACGGAAGGGGCAAGCGUUGUUCGGAAUCAUUGGGCGUAAAGGGCGCGUAGGUGGUCUUGUGUGUCUAUCGUGAAAGCGUACGGCUCAACCGUAUUGCGUCGGUAGAAACUGCAGGACUUGAGGCUGGGAGGGGCUGGUGGAAUUCCCUGUGUAGCGGUGAAAUGCGUAGAGAUGGGGGAGAACACUCGUGGCGAAGGCGGCCAGCUAGACCAGUUCUGACACUGAGGCGCGAUAGCGUGGGGAGCAAACAGGAUUAGAUACCCUGGUAGUCC
rnacentral:rRNA from 1 species